GACAGCAGCCGCCACGGUAAUACAGAGGGUGCAAGCGUUAAUCGGAAUUACUGGGCGUAAAGUGCGCAUAGGUGGUUUGUUAAGUUGGAUGUGAAAUCCCCGGGCUCAACCUGGGAACUGCAUCCAAAACUGGCAAGCUAGAGUAUGGUAGAGGGUGGUGGAAUUUCCUGUGUAGCGGUGAAAUGCGUAGAUAUAGGAAGGAACACCAGUGGCGAAGGCGACCACCUGGACUGAUACUGACACUGAGGUGCGAAAGCGUGGGGAGCAAACAGGAUUAGAUACCCGAGUAGUCCCUGUCUCUUAUAC
rnacentral:rRNA from 1 species